GGCCCUGUAGCGCAGUGGUUGGCGCGCCUCCCCACCUAUCCUGACGUGUUCAGCGAGGUGACGCCGGUUCGAGUCCGGUCAGGGUCA
rnacentral:tRNA from 1 species